rnacentral:rRNA from 1 species
CAGCAGCCGCGGUAAUACAGAGGGUGCGAGCGUUAAUCGGAUUUACUGGGCGUAAAGCGUGCGUAGGCGGCUAAUUGAGUCGGAUGUGAAAUCCCCGAGCUUAACUUGGGAAUUUCAUUCGAUACUGGUUAGCUAGAGUGUAGGAGAGGAUGGUAGAAUUCCAGGUGUAGCGGUGAAAUGCGUAGAGAUCUGGAGGAAUACCGAUGGCGAAGGCAGCCAUCUGGCCUAUCACUGACGCUGAGGUACGAAAGCAUGGGGAGCAAACAGGAUUAGAUACCCCCGUAGUCCCUGUCUCUUAUAC